UUAUAUCAAAUCAAAAAAUUUUAAAGGAACAAACACCCAGAACUUGCAAUAUAAUAGCUCAUUUCCCACAGAUCCCCCACCUCCAUCCCUCACUUUUUGUUCCUUCUUUACCAUUUCUCGGCCGCCGGGUGGCUUCAGCGGCCGGUAAGAGUCGAUAAGCUUCCGUUUGGGUUCCGUUUAUUACGGACAAGAAACAAGACGAACCGUAUUGUUUUCAUGACAUUUCUCCAUAGAUAUAGAUAAGAAAUUUGGUACAAGAACUUUUUCAUUUUUUCCUUUUGAAGGUACAAGGUGCUUCGAAAGGAAAAAUGGUGAAGGAAGGAGAGCCAAGAAGAGAGGCUAUUACAUCGUCGUCAUCGUCGCCGUCAUUAUGCGACUCCGAAACGGAAGAUUUGGAACGUAUGCCAUUGGUGCCAUUACCAUUGACGAAAAACAAUAGGUAUUUAUCGAAGCAAUUAUCGCUGUGCGAGACGCGACGGGAAAUUGCUUGGGAAAGAAGGCGGCGCCAGAUUCUUCGUCAAGAGAGAAGAAAGAAUGGGAUCAUUGAGAAUGGGUUGACAGAUGAAGACCUGCAUGAACUUAAAGGGUGCAUAGAGCUGGGAUUUGGAUUCAAUGAAGAAGAAGGCCAAAAACUUACAAGCACAUUGCCUGCAUUAGACCUUUAUUUCGCUGUAAACCGACAGCUUUCUCCAAGUCCAGUUUCAACCCCUCAUAGUCGUGGCUCUUCGUUAUCACUUGGUGAUCGGUCAUCUUCUUUUGGAAGCCCUACAAGUACUGAGUCAGAUUGGAAAAUUUACAGCCCAGGGGAAGAUCCUCAGCUAGUGAAGACUAAGCUAAGGCAUUGGGCACAGGCUGUUGCAUGUUCUGUGCUGCAAUCAUUUUAAAAAGGGGCGGUUUGUAUAGCGGCAGAAGAAAAACAAAGGAAGAAAAAUCUAGAGUCAGCAAUCAGAAAGAGUGAGGCAGAAAGUUGAAAACUUUCUGAAUGCUGCUUGUACCAGGAAUCGUGAUCUUCUCAAGAAGAUUGCGGCUCAACUUGAUGAGGGAAAGGGACUGGCGAAAACAGUGGCAGAUAAUAAGGAUGCGAACAAACGAGGGGCAAUUCAUUUUGCAGCAAGACAGAAGUGUGCAAUUGUUGUUGGAAGAAUUGAGAGGAGAGAUGAAGAUGGGGUUUACAUCCCAAAAUAUUUCUCAACUACUCUGCCAAAUAUGCUUUGACUCCUGCUGGAACAU